AACGAACGCUGGCGGCAGGCUUAACACAUGCAAGUCGAACGCCCCGCAAGGGGAGUGGCAGACGGGUGAGUAACGCGUGGGAAUCCACCUAGUUCUACGGAACAACAGAGGGAAACUUCUGCUAAUACCGUAUACGCCCUAAGGGGGAAAGAUUUAUCGGAAUUAGAUGAGCCCGCGUAAGAUUAGCUAGUUGGUGGGGUAAUGGCCUACCAAGGCGACGAUCUUUGGCUGGUCUGAGAGGAUGAUCAGCCACACUGGGACUGAGACACGGCCCAGACUCCUACGGGAGGCAGCAGUGGGGAAUAUUGGACAAUGGGCGCAAGCCUGAUCCAGCCAUGCCGCGUGAGUGAUGAAGGCCUUAGGGUUGUAAAGCUCUUUCAGUGGGGACGAUAAUGACGGUACCCACAGAAGAAGCCCCGGCUAACUUCGUGCCAGCCGCCGCAGUAACAC
rnacentral:rRNA from 1 species